UCUCUAGCUAUUGGUUCUUUCUGCUGGAAUUCUGCUUACCAUGAGGGAACCUGCAUGCACAAUAAAGUCAAGAGGAGGUCCCCAGAGGAUUGGAUAGUUCCUGCCCACAUUGAGGACAGGUCUUUCCCACCUAGUCUACUCAGGCUCUCAUGCUAAUCUCUGCUUAACACACCCUCUUGGACACACCUAAAAAGAUAGCUUUACCAGGUUUCUCAGCAUUCCUUCAUUCCAAUCAAGUUGACACCUAGAAUUAACCUUCACAAUGCCUAACAAGAUCACCCUUGCUAAAUGCUGACACUGCAAUCCUAUAAAGAUGGAUUUUCAUCUGGCUCUGCCCUUCCCCCAACCACACACCCAACAGCUGCAAAGACAGUAUCGUCUUUGAAGAGUUGAAAGUUUACUUUCUUGGCCUAAACUAGACAACUGACCUGGAAGUCUAUAUUUUCAAAAAGAACACAUCUCCACAAGCUGAGAACUCCAUUUACUUCAAGACCUUUCUGAUUUCCAUUCUUUUUGGUUUAACAAUAAGUUCUGAAAUCUUCAGACUCAUAAUUAAUGUCUCAUUAAUUAAAAUGACAAACCCACUGGCAAUGUCAUCCUGAAUGAUGAAAAACUGAAAGCUUUUCAUUUGCAAACAGGAAUAAGACAAGGAUGCUCACUCUCACCAUUUCUAUUUAACAUAGUUUUGGAAGUACUUGCCAGAGCAAUUAGGCAAGAGAAAGAAACAAAGGGCAUCCAAAUUCAAAAACACAAAGUCAAAUGGCCAAUUUGCAGAUGACCUAAUCCUGUAUAUAGAAAAACCUGAACUCUACCAAAAAAACUCUUAGAGCUGAUCAGCAAAUUCACUAAGGUGGCAGGAUGCAAAAUCAAUAUAUAAAAAUCAGUAGCAUUUUUAUACUCUAACAAUGAACUAGCAGAAAAAGAAAUCAAGAAACCAAGCCCAUUUACAAUAGCUACCAAAAAUUAAAACACUUAGGUAUAAAUUUAAUCAAGGAGGUGAAAGACCUCUACAACAAGAACUAGAAAUCACUGCUGAAAGAAAUUGAAGAGGACACUGAAAGAUGGAAAGACAUCCCAUGUUCUGGACUGGAAGAAUUAACAUUAUGAAAAUGUCCAUACUAGCAAUCCACAGAUUCAAUGCAAUCCCCAUGAAAAUACCAAUGACUUUCUCACAGAAAUAGAAAAAACAAUUCUAAAAUUCAUAUGGAACAACAAAAAAGAUCCCAAAUAGCCAAAGCAAUCCUGAGCAAAAAGAAAAAUGAAGCCAGAGGCAUACACCACUUGACUUCAAAUUAUACCACAAAACUAUAGUAAGCAAAAUAGCAUGGUACUGGCAUAAAAACAGAUACACAGACCAAUGGAAGAAAAAAGAGAAUGCAGAAAUCAACCCACUUACUUAUAACCAACUGAUCUUUGACAAAGGCACCAACAACAUACACUGGUGAAAGGAUGGCCUUUUCAAUAAAUGGUGCUGGGAAAACUGGAUAUCCAUAUGUAGAAGAAUGAAAUUAGAUCCAUAUAUUUAGCCAAAUACUAAAAUCAACUCAAAAUGGAUUAAAGACUUAAAUAUAAGACCCAAAACUAUAAAACUCCUAGAAGAAAACAUAGGGGAAACAUUUCAGGAUGUAGGAUUUGGGGUCUUUAUGAAUAAGACCCCAAAAGCAAAGGGAACAAAAGAAAAAAAUAAAUGGGAUUAUAUCAAACUAAAAAGCUUCUGCACAGCAAAGGAAACAAUCAACAGUGAAAAGACAACCUAUAGAACGAGAGAAAAUAUUUGCAAACUAUACAUCUGACAAAGGAUUAACAUCCAGAAUAUAUAAGGAAUUCAAACAACUUAACAGUAAAAAAAAAAACAAAUAAUCCAACUAAAAAAUGAGCAAAGUAACUGAAUAGACAUUUCUCAAAGGAAGACAUAAAAACGGCCAACAGAUAUAUGAAAAAAAUGCUCAACAUCACUAAUCAUCAGGGAAAUGCAAAUCAAAACCACAUUGAGAUAUCAUCUCACCCCAGUUAGAGUGGCUAUUAUCAAAAAGACAGAGAAUAACAAAUGCUGGUGAGGAUGAGGAGAAAGGGGAACCUUUCUACACCAUUGGUGAGACUGUAAAUUAGUAAAGCCAUUAUGGAAAAAGGUAUGUCGAUUUCUGAAACAACUACAAAUAGAACUAUCAUAUGCUCCAGCAAUUCCCGCUACUGGGUGUAAACCCAAAGGAAUGGAAAUCAUCAAAGGGAUACCUGCACUCCCAUGUUUACUGCAGAUCUAUUUACAAUAACCAAGUUAUGGAACCAACCUAAAUAUCCAUCAACAGAUGACUGAAUAAGGAAAAUGUGGUAUAUAUGCACAAUGGAAUACUACUCUGCCACAAAAAAAAAAAAAAAAAAAAAAAAUGAAACUCUGCCAUUUCCACCAACAUGGAUGAGUUUGGAGAAAAUUAUGUUAAGUGAAAUAAGCCAGGCACAGAAAGAUAAUACCAUAUGUCUUCACUCAUAAGUGGGAGCUAAAAAAAGAAAGAAAGAAAGAAAGAACAAUCACAAUAACAUGUUGAACUUUCAGAAGGAGAGAACAGAACUGUGGUUACUAGAAGUGAGAAAGGGGCAGGCAGAGGGGGGCUAGUGAGAAAUUGGUUAAUGGGCAUAAAGAAUGAGUACGUUUUAUAAUGAUGAAUAUGCUAAUUAUCUUGAUUUGAUCACAUAUUGUACACAAGUAUUGACAGUCAACUCCAUACCCCACAAAUAUAUAUAAUGAAUUAUGUAUGUUUCAACUAAAAAAAUUAUACGUAAACCAAGAAAAUUAAGUGCCAAAGUUGAACUCAAAAUAGAGGCAGUUCUAGCAACAGCAACAAAAAAAAUCAAUUUGGCUAUUCCGAACAGGAUUCUUAGAUAAAAUCAACACUUUUGAAUUUCAAUGCUUAGCAAUUUUGAAUAAACUUUCUCAAAUAGCUUAGAUGAUUUGCUAGAGAUAUUUUCUUAAAACUUUCAAAUAAUGCAAAUCCAAAUAUGCAACAAGAAAAGCAUCAGCUUUAAGGGAAAUCACAAAGUUUUUAGCAACACAAUAUGCUUGUCACCUCCUUUGCAAUGUUUUUACCCUGAAAGGUAUAAUAAAACAGUAGUACUUCUUACACUGAGCACCAUAUGAAUGCUUAAUGUUAAAACCCCAAUUUCAAAAGAAUAAGAACCACAGCCAUAUCCCACCUACAUAAAACACCAGAUGAAAGACAUCUGGAAAAUUAUUGGGAUUUUAACACAGUUCUCCAAAAAGAUCUUGCUGCUCUGCACACAAAGUGCUACAUAUGCAUUAAUAAACCUGAUAAAAAUGUAAAUGAGUGACAUGCUAGGAGUGAAAUUUCUCUUUCAGAAAUUUUUUCAGUCCAGUAAAAUUCUCUUAAUCUAAAAAUGCAAACCUAGGUCAAACACUUUGUUAGAAUUUCAAAUAGUUUUUUCAAAAACGAAUCUACAUUUAAAAAUUCAUUUUAGUGUUAGGAUAGAAGACUCAGAUGAACACAGCAAUUCUCAGCAAGAACUAUUUUAGGUUAUGUACCUCCAAGAGUCUUGUCACCUCUCACGGAAUGCCACCACUUCAAAACUAGAAUUUGGCAACUGUUUUUAAAAGAUGUUCACAGCUAUUGAAGAUGAUCAGCCUUCUGGAAAAAUAAUCAUGGCUCCUUUUAACUUCUACCACUAACAUAGUAUGUGCUCAAUAAAUGCUGAAUUGAAUGGCAUUUAGCAUGUCAAGCAUGACAAGUGAAAAGAGACAGCCAAGCUGUUUAAGACCAAAAAUGAAAGGUAUCUGGGAUAGAUGCUAUUUUUUUAAAGUAGAAAUAAAUAGAACCAUGACUGACGUGCUCACUUUAUUAACUCCUUAUGACUAUUUCUUAUUGAAGAAUUUAUAAAUUCUUUUAGCCUAUUAAAUCAUUACAUCUCACAGUAAUAACAUUAGAGAGUUGGCACUUGUUUUCACGCUGUAACAGAAAACAUGAUCAAAAGGUCAAGUGAUCACAUGUGUAAGAGCCACAGUUUAAACCCAGACUUCCUGACUCUAAAACCAGCAUUGUUGCCAUGCAUCACACUGGUCAAAGUUAACUGAGUGGGUUCAGAUGCCUGUCAGGGGUUUGCAAACCUGCAGCAUUUCAGCAGGUCUGUCUUGCAACCUAGACCCCCUGUCUUACUCCACUCAGGGUGCUAUCACAAAACACCUUAAAAUGGAUAACUUUUAGAUGACAGAAAUUUAUUUUUCACAUUUCUGGAGGCUGGGAAGUCCCAGAUCCAGGCACCACAAAUUGAAUGACUAGUGAGGGCCCUCUUCCUCAUAGUUGGUGCCUUCUACCUGUGUCCUCACAUGGUGGAAUGAACAAACAAGCUUCCUUGGGCCUUUAUUACAAGGGCUCCAUUCAUAGGGACUCUGCCCUUGUGAUCUAAUCACGUCCCAAAAGGCCCCACUUAUUAAUACCAUAACCUUGGGGGUUGGGUUUUCAACAUACAAAUUUUGGGGAUACACAAACAUUCAGACCAUAGCAGCCCCCAAGCCAAAUCAGACCAGUAAAGGCAAAUACUGAUGCUAAAAAGUAUUAUCUUGAUUAGCACAGAGGGACCAUAAUCAGCUUUCAUCACAUUUCAAGUGUUAUCAUUGGCAAGUGACAUUCACUGCACGAAGUCUGGAGUGUGUAUGCCAUCCUGCACAGGCACACUUUAGAUGAAAAAAGCAAUCACCGUAACUCCACUAACGAAAAGCUGUUUUCACACCAAGGGAAAGAAAUGAUAUGUUUUCCAACGCAAGAAGAAAGGUUUUUGAGCACAGGUCUUAGUUUGAAGCUAAACCCAAGUGGGGAAAAACAAAUACGGUUUUCAUGAAAUUUCCAACCCAUCUUACUAAGACCAAUUUUACCUGCCUACUUGUCCUGCAAGCUUCUCAAGCCCCUUCUUAUCUCGCAGCCUCAUUGAGACAUGGUUUUACCCUCCCUGCACACGCCCAUUGACUUGAGAGACAUAAAAGCAAGACCACUCUCUAAAAAAGCUCCUCUGAGUCUGACACAGGGUCUGCAAUUCCUCCACUAGUAUUAGACAACUCUUCAGGUUCUCAGGAGCUCCUUAGUAAGAAGCACCCUAGAGAGCAAGCUUCCUUAGGGGUUACCAACUUGUUGGUGAUGAGUAAGGAUGUUAACCCUACAUGCUGAUGUGUAACAUUGAGCCAUUUUCCUCAUCUGUAAAAUAAAGGUGUUGCAUCAAUCUCUAUGGUUCUUCUUGUCCUAACAUUAUAAGAAUGCUUCCAGAAAUAACAUAAAUGAUCAGAAAUAACAUAAGUGAUUAUUAUUUUUAGCACUUACUACAGGGCAGGGACUGCACUGAACACUUUAUUCACAUUAUUUUAUUUAAUCCUUAAUAAUACCCCACGCCCAGGUAGAAACUCUUAAUAUUUUCAGAUGAGAAAAGUGAGAAUUAGAGAGCUUGAGCAGUAGAACCUCUCUCAUCGAACUUUUACUUAAUCAUACCAGCUCUUUAACUGACUAAUUCAUUUUGUAAAACUACACUAUGAUGAAUGACCUCAGCUGGAUAAAUGCCGGUAGCUGGUAGCCUCCUGUCUGUUAGACACAGUCUGCAUAAGGUUUCCCCCAGCAAAGUUGUGCACGUCCCAAAAGUUACCUGUUUUUGUUCCCAAACUUGUUUAUGCCAGUUAUACUUUUUACUUGAUUAAGCCAGUCACUGCAAUAAUGUAAUUUAAUAAAAAUAGUGCAUAAACCAAUGAAA